GGAACAGACAUGUUAUUCAUUAACUCGAGCAGACUUUACUCCUGUCCACAAUAGGAGUUCCCUUGUUGUCUACUGUACUGUACUUCCAAAACGGUAAGCUCAAGUUACAUUUCGUUUUCCAAUAUUGCAUUGUCUCAUUGAUUCAUAUCUGUGCUUGUAAUUGUUUGUGUGUGUACAAAUAUGAAUAGCUGCUGUUGACCACCUGGCUCAACCUGAUAGGAAAGAUGAGUGACAUAGAGGAUGACAAUGAGAUCUCAUUUUCAGUGAAGUUUCUUGGCCGAGUGGAGGUAUUUCGCCCUAACGGACUAAAUAUCCUGGAGGAAGCAGCUCAGAGCGUCAAGACGCCUGACCCGUACUCCUCAGAAAAGGCUACAAAGAAGAGCAAAGUCCAUCUCUUCGUGUCUUUGAGUGGGAUUGACAUAUUGGAAAACAAAACCAAGUUUCUGCUGUACACCUGCCCCCUCCCCACUAUUUCCUUCUGCGCCGUCUUGCCCUCGUCAUCCAAAGUGUUCGGCUUUGUGGCCAAGCACCCUGCAGUAGACGCGUACCACUGCUAUCUGUUCAAGAGCCAGACUCAGGCAUACGUGCUGGUCUCCGUCGUUGGCGAUGUCUUCCGAGCUGCGAAAAAAGAGGAGCGUGUCAGGGGAGGUCGUGACCUGAUAGUGGAGGCCCUCAGACACAAGAAUAAAAUGCUGCAAAAGGAGAAUUCUGAGCUCAAGAGGAGGCUUGCAGACAAAAACAACCAACAAUAAGUCUUUCUUCAACUCCAUGUAAUAACAACUUCAUUUGAAAUCCCUUUUGUUAUCUUUGAAGGGAAACCUACAAGAUCUCUUACUGCAAAACAAAUCGCAAUACCUAAAGAGCCUCAUCAGAUCCUUCUGGACAUAACGGGUCUUGGCCUGCCUGACUUCAUAUCAACUUCCUCCCAUCCUUUCCAUGAUGAAUGAGCAGACUGACCUAGACACUCAAUUUCUCUCUUUUGUGUUUAUUUUGCCCUUUAAAAAGCAUUUAUCUGAUGAAAUGAUUGUUUAAAAUUGACAGUACUUUUGCAAAUGUUGCAGUAAUCUUGCAUGUGCAUUUUUCUUAAUAGUGUCACUGUUUACGCAAUUGCAGUCCUCCUUUGGUCUGUGCAGUCAAUGGGUCAAAGGUGUGAAAUUGACAUGGUGUUUUCAUUGCUCCCUGUUUACUACUACAACUACUGGCGAUAUCAGAAAUAUUUUGUCAUAUAUUGUCACAAAAUAAAUUACAGCCGGACAAUGAUAAAUUAUUGUGUAGACAACUCCAAUGUAUCCAGUGGUUUAAAGAUUUUAAUUCAGAAAAAAAAGAAAAUCUUAAGUUUUCAAAAUUUUAACCUUCCCGUGGGAAGUAACUACAGUAGCUUACUAUAUAUCGGAAUUCAUUGGAGUGCUGUACAUUGCAGGGUAAUAUAAAAUCACACAAGCAUAUAUGUUCACUGUAUUCAGCAUCUGUGUGUUCUGAGGUUCAUUGGAAAAAAAACUUGAAAACAUCAUACUUCAUUUAAAAAAGAAAACAUUAAGUAAACAUUUUAUUAGACUUAUUCCUAAUUAAAGUGGAAAGUGAAUGUUGGAUAUGUCAGAUAUUUCCAGAAAAGGUCUCCGCCUUUAUAACCUGGCCACAACUGAUAAAAUGCUGAGCCCGUUUACAAAAUGUAAACAUGUUCACCUGUGUUCUGUACACAAAAAAAAUAUUUUUAAAUUUUACAUGGAAGCAUAAUAUCGGGGAAAAAGUUGGUUUUGUUAACAUGUUGCAUGUUGUCCAUAAACUGGACAACAUAUAUAUAUAUAUAUAUAUAUAUAUAUAUAUAUUUAAAAAAAACUGUGAUAUAUCAGACUGUUUGCGUUGCUAUGGCUUAUCAUAUCAUGUCUACACUGCACAUCCUGUUUUAUUGUUUUUGGUUUAAGCCUAACAAACAUGCUGUAAAGACACAGGCAAUGAGAGUCACAUCACUGCCAAACCAAUCGAAAUAAAUUUGCUGCUG